UACGAAGGGGCUAGCGUUGCUCGGAAUCACUGGGCGUAAAGGGUGCGUAGGCGGGUUUUAAGUCAGAGGUGAAAUCCUGGAGCUCAACUCCAGAACUGCCUUUGAUACUGAAAGUCUUGAGUAUGGGAGAGGUGAGUGGAACUGCGAGUGUAGAGGUGAAAUUCGUAGAUAUUCGCAAGAACACCAGUGGCGAAGGCGGCUCACUGGCCCAUAACUGACGCUGAGGCACGAAAGCGUGGGGAGCAAACAGGG
rnacentral:rRNA from 1 species